rnacentral:rRNA from 1 species
AAUACCAGCAAGGGACCGGCGACGUGUGAGUAAUGUCUGGGAAACUGCCUGAUGGAGGGGGAUAACUACUGGAAACGGUAGCUAAUACCGCAUACCAUCAGAUGUGCCCAGAUGGGAUUAGCUAGUUGGUGGGGUAACGGCUCACCAAGGCGACGAUCCCUAGCUGGUCUGAGAGGAUGACCAGCCACACUGGAACUGAGACACGGUCCAGACUCCUACGGGAGGCAGCAGUGGGGAAUAUUGCACAAUGGGCGCAAGCCUGAUGCAGCCAUGCCGCGUGUAUGAAGAAGGCCUUCGGGUUGUAAAGUACUUUCAGCGGGGAGGCGUUACCCGCAGAAGAAGCACCGGCUAACUCCGUGCCAGCAGCCGCGGUAAUAC